rnacentral:rRNA from 3 species
CCCGUCUUGAAACACGGACCAAGGAGUCUAACAUCCACGCGAGCGUUCGGGUGAUCAGAAACCCUCGCGCGCAAUGAAAGUGAACGGAGGUGGGAGCCCUCCCGUAACGAGGGGGGUGCACCAUCGACCGAUCCUGAUGUCUUCGGAUGGAUUUGAGUAUGAGCGUGGCUGUUGGGACCCGAAAGAUGGUGAACUUUGCAUGGAUAGGGUGAAGCCAGAGGAAACUCUGGUGGAGGCUCGCAGCGGUUCUGACGUGCAAAUCGAUCGUCAAAUCAGUGCAAAGGGGCGAAAGACUAAUCGAACCGUCUAGUAGCUGGUUCCUGCCGAAGUUUCCCUCAGGAUAGCAGUAACGAACCCAGUUUUAUGAGGUAGAGCGAAUGAUUAGAGGUCUUGGGGCUAAAAUAGCCUUAACCUAUUCUCAAACUUCGAAUAUGUAAGAAGUCCUUGUUGCUUCGUUGAACGUGGACGCUCGAAUGUACCGUUACUAGUGGGCCAUUUUUGGUAAGCAGAACUGGCGAUGCGGGAUGAACCGAACGCGAGGUUAAGGUGCCGGAAUGCACGCUCAUCAGACACCACAAAAGGUGUUAGUUCAUCCAGACAGCAGGACGGUGGCCAUGGAAGUCGGAACCCGCUAAGGAGUGUGUAACAACUCACCUGCCGAAUGAACUAGCCCUGAAAAUGGAUGGCGCUCAAGCGUGCUACCCAUACCUCGCCGCCGGGGCAGGAUCGAUGCCCCGGCGAGUAGGCAGGCGCGGCGGUCGGUGACGAA